rnacentral:rRNA from 1 species
CGGUGAAUACGUUCCCGGACCUUGUACACACCGCCCGUCAAGCCAUGGAAGCUGGGUGUACCUAAAGUCGAUAACCGCAAGGAGUCGCCUAGGGUAAACUAGUAACUGGGGCU